UACGUAGGGUGCGAGCGUUAAUCGGAAUUACUGGGCGUAAAGCGUGCGCAGGCGGUUUUGUAAGCCAGAUGUGAAAUCCCCGGGCUUAACCUGGGAAUGGCAUUUGGGACUGCAAGGCUUGAGUGCGGCAGAGGAGACUAGAAUUCCUGGUGUAGCAGUGAAAUGCGUAGAUAUCAGGAGGAAUACCGAUGGCGAAGGCAGGUCUCUGGGCUGACACUGACGCUCAGGAGCGAAAGCGUGGGGAGCGAACAGG
rnacentral:rRNA from 1 species